GACGGAUGGGGCUAGCGUUGUUCGGAAUUACUGGGCGUAAAGGGCGCGUAGGCGGCCAUUUAAGUUAGACGUGAAAGCCCUGGGCUUAACCUAGGAACUGCGUUUAAUACUGGAUGGCUAGAGUAUGGUAGAGGAAAGCGGAAUUCCUAGUGUAGAGGUGAAAUUCGUAGAUAUUCGCAAGAACACCAGUGGCGAAGGCGGCUCACUGGCCCGAUACUGACGCUGAGGCACGAAAGCGUGGGGAGCAAACAGG
rnacentral:rRNA from 1 species